GACGAACGCUGGCGGCGUGCUUAACACAUGCAAGUCGAACGGAAAGGCCCUGCUUUUGUGGGGUGCUCGAGUGGCGAACGGGUGAGUAACACGUGAGUAACCUGCCCUUGACUUUGGGAUAACUUCAGGAAACUGGGGCUAAUACCGGAUAGGAGCUCCUGCUGCAUGGUGGGGGUUGGAAAGUUUCGGCGGUCGGGGAUGGACGCGCGGCUUAUCAGCUUGUUGGUGGGGUGGUGGCUUACCAAGGAUUUGACGGGUAGCCGGCCUGAGAGGGUGACCGGCGACAUUGGGACUGAGAUACGGCGCAGACUCCUACGGGAGGCAGCAGGGGGGAAUAUUGCACAGUGGGGGGGAGCCUGAUGCAGCGACGCCGCGUGCGGGAUGACGGCCUUCGGGUUGUAAACCGCUUUCGCCUGUGACGAAGCGUGAGUGACGGUAAUGGGUGAAGAAGCACCGGCUAACUACGUG
rnacentral:rRNA from 1 species